rnacentral:rRNA from 1 species
UACAGAGGUCUCAAGCGUUGUUCGGAUUCAUUGGGCGUAAAGGGUGCGUAGGCGGCUGGGGAAGUCGGCGGUGAAAGCCCGGAGCUCAACUCCGGGUCGGCCGUCGAGACUCCUCGGCUCGAGCUCACUAGAGGCAGAUGGAAUUCCGGGUAUAGCGGUGGAAUGCGUAGAGAUCCGGAAGAACACCGGUGGCGAAGGCGGUCUGCUGGGGUGAGGCUGACGCUGAGGCGCGACAGCGUGGGGAGCAAACAGG